rnacentral:rRNA from 1 species
UACGGAGGGUGCAAGCGUUAAUCGGAAUUACUGGGCGUAAAGCGCACGCAGGUGGCUGAGUCAGUCGAUUGUGAAAGCCCUGGGCUUAACCUGGGAAUUGCAGUCGAUACUACUCGGCUCGAGUAUGGGAGAGGGCAGUGGAAUUCCCGGUGUAGCGGUGAAAUGCGCAGAUAUCGGGAGGAACACCUAUGGCGAAGGCAGCUCGCUGGGACGUUACUGACGCUGAGACGCGAAAGCGUGGGGAGCAAACAGG